rnacentral:tRNA from 1 species
CCCGAGCGGCCAAAGGGAGCAGACUGUAAAUCUGCCGUCAUCGACUUCGAAGGUUCGAAUCCUUCCCCCACCACCA